rnacentral:lncRNA from 1 species
CUUACCUGAAUGGAGCUAAGCAGAAGAUCAACGACGUUCUUGGCGAGAUAGACAAAUGAUUUAGGUAUUUAGGGUUUCCAAUUUUCUUAAGUCUGGUCUUGGGUUUGUCUGGUUUAUUGAUUUAAUCUGGUUUAUAUUCUCUAAUCGGGCCGUAACCGGGUCAUUUUUGGUUAGUUAAGUUAGUCAUUGGUUAAGUUUAUGGUUUAGAGAACACUAACCAACGUUUAACCAGUUUUUGUAGGUAUUAGUUCGGUUUGUGUGGAAAUGAGUUUCAAACUUUCAUUGUGUGUGGAAGGGGGUUGUUAUACUUUUGUGGUGUGCAAUUACGACGAGGUUAAAGCAUUGUAUACAUUUAUUAUUAUACGAUAGUUCUGGUGUGUAAAUAGGUCGUCUUCCCGUAGAUCUAUUAUCCUUACAAUAGGAAAACAAGGAAAAAUGUUGAGAAACUAAAAAAAAAACUUGAAAAGCCAUAUAUGUGUUUCAUAACUCGACCAAAAUCUGAUUUCUAGAGAUUCAAAUCUAGGCUUUUGGUACGAAGUGAGAAAACACGGACCACUAAACCAAGCCUUACUUAACGUUACACUCAACAUAUUUAAUAUAUAUACGUAUCAAUAUAG